GAGCCGGGGAGCCAUGCCGGAGCCCAGCGUCGCGCAAGGAGGAGAUGCUACAGACCUGUCCCGUCCAUCGUCAUGGGUGAUGUAAGAUCUACCCAAUAAGAUGGAAUAGUUAGCGGCUUUCACCAGCCAUGAGAGGGACUACCGGCGGUGAAGCAUCAUGCUGUUUACGGAGACAUGGCUAAUCACAACACCACCAGACACGGUCACCACAGUGGACAGAUUCAAGCUAAUACGGGAGGACAGUGGAGAGAGGUCGGUCACUUGUGAAGACCAUCAUCAUUUCCCCCCGAACGGAUAACAAAAUAGCAGAAGAAGCAGAUUUGCGGGCUGACCGGCACGGAGAAAUGCGCUUCCGGUGUGAACAGCUCGCAUAAGAAUGUUCGCUUCGCGCCGCUUCUGCCUCCAGUGUGUCCCUGGCGUAGCCAGGCCGGAGGCACUGACUCUGAGUGGAGCAUGUGCGAGGCGCCUGACCCUACAGUAGAUUUUUUUUUAUGGGUCAAUGCAGUUCACUCUCUUGAUUAUUUGAGAGAGAAAUACGGACAUUCGUCCGUCAAUCAUAUAAACAGUAAUAUGAGAGUAAUUAGAGCAAAAACAUGGAAGUUACAUCUACUUGAAGACUCUUGGCAAGUCAUCAAGAUUCACCGCCAUGCCAAGGACAUGCCCCCUGAUGAAAACUCACAAGUUUGACUCCUGACCAAAUUUCACAUGUAUCGCGUGUUUCACAUGAAAUUUUUUCUGGCGAAUAAUCGAAAUUCGCCGCCACGGCCCCCGAAGAAAACUCAUAGUUAACAUAACUUUUGAUCAGAAAGUGUUUAACAUCAAUGUUGUAAAUAUUGUAACUUUGUGAAUUUGUUCAGCUAAACGCAGCAUCUAUUGCACUUCUGCCUGUCCUGGGAGAUGGAUCGCUCACAUGUGGCUCUCUGAAGUUUCUGCGUUUUUCUCCCAAUAAUGUUUUUUUGGGGUAGAUUUUCUUUUCUCUGAGCCAAAUGUGAUUUGUGAAUGUGUGCUAUACAAAUUGGAUUUCAUUUAUUGAUUCUAUGUUGAACUCGCUUCGUAGUACAGGUACCAGAAAAAAAAUAAAAAUAAAAGAUAAUUUCUAAUUUC